AGCGGGACAACUCCACGGCAACGAGAAAUCCUUUAUGCCGUCAUCUCAGCCCUGGGACUUGCCCAUCACAUGUGCUGGCCUUGCGAGCAUAUGAAGAAGUUUCCUCCAUGGGGUUCCUUCUGGAUACAAUUUGGGAACUGCUUGCUCCUCAAUCCAAGACUUCAGGCAACAAAGCAAUGAUCUGGCCCUAAAACUUCCCAGUAAGGGAUUUUGGAUGAAAGAGUUUAUUAGCUGGCUUCACUGGCUUGUCUCCCCAAAGCCUGAAACUAUACUUCAAACUUAGCUGCGGCCCUUUCUUUGUGAGCGUGCCAGCUAUGGAAGUGCAGGCCCAGCAGUGUUGGAACUUGCUUGCUGGCCCAAGAAAAGCCUCUUUGUUGUCAUGGAACAAGUCCUAGAGUCGGUGAGCUUGAAAGCCUGAAAGAAAUAAUUUAACCUCUCUGAGCUUCAAUUUCUCCAUCUGUAAAAUGGGAAUGAAAAUUCCAGUCCUGAAUUACUUCCAGGGCAGGUUUGAAACUCAAAUGGGAGAGUGCUGUGAAAUGGGAAAACACUAAAAAAGUAUCAGAUAUGAUUAUCAAAGCCAAACCACAUGAUCAUUCAAGUUGUGUUCUUUACAAAAUUCUUUCUCAUUUUAAAAAUACAUGCUCCAUUAGUUCAUUUAGGCCAAGCCUGUCCUCUCAGUCUGCAGCCAUAUUGAAUAAGCGAUGAGUACCAUACCUGGGCAAACUUAUGAAUAUGUCUUUGUAUUCACUUAAAGCAUAGG